GUAGGUGAACCUGCGGAAGGAUCACUAC
rnacentral:rRNA from 1 species